rnacentral:lncRNA from 12 species
GCUGUUCAUGGCGGUAGGGUCCCAAGAAGAUGACAGGUGUGUCUAGAACCUGCCCUGGCUCUGGGCCAUUCCGGGUGGUGUGUGACUUGUGGAUGUUGUUCCUGGAGGUAGGAUGCCAAGAAGAUGACAGGUGCACUUGCUGGCUCCAGCUGGAAGGCGCUCGUGCCCAAGAAGUCAGCAACACUGCGAUGCCCUUUGAUCCAAUCUGUGCCCGGUGGCCUCAGAGCAAAUAGCGGGGCGUUGUCAGGAGCUGGCAAAGGACCCCACCUUGGAAACAGGUUCACGUGCUGGAAUCCCGGCCCCCGAUGUGGUGAUCUUAGCUGAUGCAUCAAGUGUGGAGGGUCAAGUCCUCACGAGUGGGAUUCAUGCUUUCAGAGAAGGGACACAGGAGAGCUGCCUCCAGGUGAGGACUGGAUGCGGGGUGGCCUGUGCAAAGCAGGAGGGGGCUCCCCAAGUGCCAAAUCUGCCGGCACUUGGGCCUUGCACCUCUGAGCUCCUGACCCGGUGAGGAGCUGCGGGCCACACUGGGGCAGCCUGUGCCACUGCCCUGCGCCGCCACCCCGUGCCACCACCCGCACCAGCCAGUGCUGUGUCUGGGCCUGGCCAAGAAGGCCUUGAAGCAGGAGCGAGCUGAAGGCCUUGGCGGGGCCACAGCCUGAGGCCGCCCGUCUGCGCUAAGCAAAGACCACAACUCCCGGGGCUGAGGGACCCCCACUCACCCCAGGUGUGAACGCCCCUACUGCAGAUGGGGCUGAUCAGACUGCGGUAGAGCAACAAUAUUCUCGCAAGUGCGCUCGCUUCCCGUGCAUACACUAGCAGUCUGCGUAGACGCCUCUGUAAAUGCAUCGGGUCCGCGGUCGUCGCUUCGGGUUCCCGCAUAUUUCGCACUGUUUAGUGGGGAACAAAAGAGUGUUGUUUUUCCAACUGGCAGCUAGUCUUGGUUCUUUCUAGUACUUCGCGGUGACCCCGUGCCUCUCCGCCACUUCAAGCCCGUGUGGUCCGAUUGUCCCUCUCACCGCUGAUUCAAGGGUCUCUCUCGAAAGUCGCCGGGAUCCUCCUCUGCCCAGCCCGCUCCCCCUUAGCUGCGCCCUUGGGCCUUUGGCGGGCGGCUUCUCUGCACGGCCUCU